UGUCUUGUAAUUGGAAUGAUGGUGACUUAAACCCUCACCAGAGUACCAAUUGGAGGGCAGUCUAAGUGCCAGCAGCCGCGGUAAUUCCAGCUCCAAUAGCGUAUAUUAAACUUGUUGCAGUUAAAAAGCUCGUAGUUGAAUUUCAGCGUUUCGCGUGUGCCUCUUUUGGCCCAUCUCGUUUCGCUUUUUUUAUUACUUUGAGAAAAUUAGAGUGUUUCAAGCAGGCUUUUGUCUUGAAUACUUGAGCAUGGAAUAAUAGAGUAGGACCUUGGUUCUAUUUUGUUGGUUUUGUUACCUUGGUAAUGGUUAAUAGGAACGGUUGGGGGCAUUCGUAUUUAACUGUCAGAGGUGAAAUUCUUAGAUUUGUUAAAGACGAACUACUGCGAAAGCAUUUGCCAAGGACGUUUCCAUUAAUCAAGAACGAAAGUUAGGGGAUCGAAGACGAUCAGAUACCGUCGUAGUCCUAACCAUAAACUAA
rnacentral:rRNA from 1 species